rnacentral:rRNA from 1 species
AUACGUAGGCAGCAAGCGUUGUUCGGAGUUACUGGGCGUAAAGCGUGCGUAGGCGGUUCCGUCAGUUCGGUGUGAAAUCUCCCGGCUCAACUGGGAGGGUGCGCCGAAUACUGCGGGGCUUGAGCGCGGGAGAGGAAAGCGGAAUUCCUGGUGUAGCGGUGAAACGCGUAGAUAUCAGGAGGAACACCGGUGGUGAAGACGGCUUUCUGGACCGCUGCUGACGCUGAGGCACGAAAGCGUGGGGAGCAAACAGGAUUAGAAACCCCAGUAGUCC